rnacentral:rRNA from 1 species
GUGGGGAAUCUUCCGCAAUGGACGAAAGUCUGACGGAGCAACGCCGCGUGAGUGAUGAAGGUCUUCGGAUUGUAAAGCUCUGUUAAUCGGGACGAAAGAGCCUAGUGUGAAUAAUGCUAGGAAGUGACGGUACCGGAAUAGAAAGCCACGGCUAACUACGUGCCAGCAGCCGCGGUAAUACGUAGGUGGCAAGCGUUGUCCGGAAUUAUUGGGCGUAAAGCGCGCGCAGGCGGAUCUGCCAGUUUGUCUUAAAAGUUCGGGGCUUAACCCCGUGAUGGGAUGGAAACUACAGAUCUAGAGUAUCGGAGAGGAAAGUGGAAUUCCUAGUGUAGCGGUGAAAUGCGUAGAGAUUUGGAAGAACACCAGUGGCGAAGGCGACUUUCUGGACGAUGUCUGACGCUGAGGCGCGAAAGCUAGGGGAGCGAACGGGAUUAGAAACCCUUGUAGUCC